AACUGAUACUACCUGCGGGAACCUGCGGAAGGAUCAUUAUUGAAUUAUGUUUCUAAAUGGGUUGUAGCUGGCUCGUCAGAGCAUGUGCACGCCUGUUUGGACUUCAUUUUCAUCCACCUGUGCACCUAUUGUAGCCUUUGGUUGGGUAUCGAGGAAGUGGUCAGCCUAUCAGCACUUGCUGGAUGUGAGGACUUGCAGUGUGAAAGCUUUGCUGUCCUUUACUUGAUCAUGGAGCUGUUU
rnacentral:misc_RNA from 1 species